AAUGAACGCUGGCGGCAUGCCUAACACAUGCAAGUCGAACGGCAGCACAGUAAGCUUUUGCUCUUACUGGUUGCGAGUGGCGGACGGGUGACGAAUGCAUCGGACUCUUCUUUUUCGUGGGGGAUUACGUAGGGCAAUCUACGCUAAUACCGCAUAUUAUGUACCGUUUAGAUCAUGGGAUCUUCGCGCCUUUCGUGAUUGUAUUAGCUGAUUCCGGAUUAGCUAGUUGGGUGGGUAAAGGCCCACCAAGGCAACGAUCCGUAGCUGGUCUGAGAGGAUGAUCGGCCACACUGGAACUGAGACACGGUCCAGACUCCUACGGGAGGCAGCAGUAGGGAAUAUUGGGCAAUGGGCGAAAGCCUGACCCAGCCAGACCGCGUGAGUGAAGAAGGCCUUCGGGUUGUAAAGCCCUUUUGUUGGGAAAGAACAGCAGUAGAAUAAAACCUCGCUGUUCUGACGGUACCCAAAGAAUAAGCACCGGCUAACUACGUG
rnacentral:rRNA from 1 species